UACGGAGGGGGCUAGCGUUAUUCGGAAUUACUGGGCGUAAAGCGCACGUAGGCGGAUCUGCAAGUCAGAGGUGAAAUCCCAGGGCUCAACCUUGGAACUGCCUUUGAAACUAGAUUGCUAGAAUCCUGGAGAGGUGAGUGGAAUUCCGAGUGUAGAGGUGAAAUUCGUAGAUAUUCGGAAGAACACCAGUGGCGAAGGCGACUCACUGGACAGGUAUUGACGCUGAGGUGCGAAAGCGUGGGGAGCAAACAGG
rnacentral:rRNA from 1 species